rnacentral:rRNA from 1 species
UGAGGAAUAUUGGUCAAUGGGCGGGAGCCUGAACCAGCCAAGUCGCGUGAGGGAAGAAGGAUCUAUGGUUCGUAAACUUCUUUUGCAGGGGAAUAAAGUGCAGGACGUGUCCUGUUUUGUAUGUACCCUGAGAAUAAGGAUCGGCUAACUCCGUGCCAGCAGCCGCGGUAAUACGGAGGAUCCGAGCGUUAUCCGGAUUUAUUGGGUUUAAAGGGUGCGUAGGUGGUUUGAUAAGUCAGCGGUGAAAGUUUGCAGCUUAACUGUAAAAAUGCCGUUGAAACUGUCGGACUUGAGUGUAAAUGAGGUAGGCGGAAUGCGUGGUGUAGCGGUGAAAUGCAUAGAUAUCACGCAGAACUCCAAUUGCGAAGGCAGCUUACUAAGCUACAACUGACACUGAAGCACGAAAGCGUGGGGAGCAAACA